GUAGGGAAUCUUCCACAAUGGACGAAAGUACUGAUGGAGCAACGCCGCGUGAGUGAAGAAGGGUUUCGGCUCGUAAAACUCUGUUGUUAAAGAAGAACAUAUCUGAGAGUAACUGUUCAGGUAUUGACGGUAUUUAACCAGAAAGCCACGGCUAACUACGUGCCUG
rnacentral:rRNA from 1 species